CAGUAGCCGCGGGAAAACGAGGGGUGCAAGCGUUAUUCGGAUUGAUUGGGUGUAAAGGGUGUGCAGACGGCUUAUUAAGUCACUUGUUAAAUUCUUCGGCCUAACUGAAGGUCUGCAAGUGAUACUGAUGAGCUAGAGGGUGGAAGAGAGAAGUGGAAUUCUCGGAGUAGCGGUAAAAUGCGUAGAUCUCGAGAGGAACACCAAUGGCGAAGGCAGCUUCUUGGUCCAUUCCUGACGUUCAUACACGAAAGCGUGGGGAGCAAACAGGAUUAGAUACCCGCGUAGUCCCUGUCUCUUAUAC
rnacentral:rRNA from 1 species